UACGGGAGGCAGCAGUGGGGAAUAUUGCACAAUGGGCGCAAGCCUGAUGCAGCCAUGCCGCGUGUAUGAAGAAGGCCUUCGGGUUGUAAAGUACUUUCAGCGGGGAGGAAGGCGAUGCGGUUAAUAACCGCGUCGAUUGACGUUACCCGCAGAAGAAGCACCGGCUAACUCCGUGCCAGCAGCCGCGGUAAUACGGAGGGUGCAAGCGUUAAUCGGAAUUACUGGGCGUAAAGCGCACGCAGGCGGUCUGUUAAGUCAGAUGUGAAAUCCCCGGGCUUAACCUGGGAACUGCAUUUUGAACUGGCAGGCUUGAGUCUGUAGAGGGGGUAGAAUUCCAGGUGUAGCGGUGAAAUGCGUAGAGAUCUGGAGGAAUACCGGUGGCGAAGGCGGCCCCUGGGACAAAGCUGACGCUCAGGUGCGAAAGCGUGGGGAGCAAACAGGAUUAGGAUACC
rnacentral:rRNA from 1 species